rnacentral:rRNA from 1 species
GACAGAGGGUGCGAACGUUGCUCGGAAUUACUGGGCGUAAAGCGUGCGCAGGCGGUUGUGCAAGACCGAUGUGAAAUCCCCGGGCUCAACCUGGGAAUGGCAUUGGUGACUGUACGGCUAGAGUGUGUCAGAGGGGGUAGAAUUCCACGUGGUAGCAGUGAAAAUGCGUAGAGAUGUGGAGGAAUACCGAUGGCGAAGGCAGCCCCC